ensembl:lncRNA
AUGCUGCCUUGUGAAGAAGCUGAUUGCAUCCCGGGCAGCCAUGAUUGUAAGUUUCCUGAGGCCUCCCCAGCCAUGUGGAACUUUCUCCUGGACCCUUUGCUGAAACUCUCCCUUUGGCUGUCAGCCCUCAGUGUCUUCUCCCUGAAGCUGAUCUGCAGAGAAACUCGGAAAGCAAAUGAUUGUUGGGGCCAUUGUUCUCAUGAUAACAACUCACCUUUGAACACUUCUUGAGAAUUGUCAGUAGUUCUGCAUUCACUACUUUAUUUUUCAUUGAAAUAACUACUUUAAGGUUUAUCAAAUGCCCAUGACUCUAGGCUUAUUUGAAAAAAAAUUAUACAUAUUUAAUGAGAAAAAUCUGGAAAAAACACAAAAAGCGUAAAGAAACAGUGAUAUAAUUUGUCAAUAUUGUGAAUCAGAUAACUAUUUUUCAUUCUUUUUCUUAGCAUAUUCUUUCCUACAAUAUACUAGGAUUUUUUUGUGUGAAGUCAGGAUUGUAUUUUACACCCUACAUUGUAGCCUGCUCUUCACUUAACAAAAUACCAUAUGUAUUGUAUACUCUCGGGUUGUUCUCACAGAGACUCACAGUGACUGGUGUCAUCAUCUCUGUUUCAUAAAAGAGGAAACUAUUUUUAAUGGCAUUAUUCAGUUUUUGCUUGUUGAUUUGAGUUCCUUAUAGAUUCUAGAUAUUAGACUUCAUUGGAUACAUAGUUUGUGAAUAUUUUCUUCCAUUCCAUAGGCUGCCUGUUUGCUCUCUUGGAAGUUUCUCUUGCUGUGAAGAAGCUCUUUCAUUUAAACAGGUCCUAGUUAUCAACUUUUGCCCUUGUUAGAACUGCUUUUGAGCAACUGUAAAUUGCCAAGGCCAAUAUUGAGAAGGAUGUUUCCUAUUUUUUUCUAGAAUAAUUUGAGGUCUUAUAUUUAAGUGUUUAAUCCAUCUUGAGUUAAUUUAUAUACCUUUGUAACAAACCUGCACAUGUACCUCCUGAUUCUAAAAUAAAAGUUGAAAAACGGUGGAACUUUCAUCUGAAAAUGUGAAGUUUCCCUGAGGACCCAGGGGAGAGUUGUGCUUCCAUUCUUGAUGUUCUAACCAUGAGUUAAGCCUUGGGCCUUUAUAUCACAAACAACACAGUACUUCCACCACAAAACCCUUAUUUAUUGCUGAUUUUCUACCCUUUUAAUAUGUAAGCCUGAUCAGUUAUUCCUUUCUCCUAACUCUCCAGUGGCUUUCCAUUAUGACUUCUUCAGAGCAGAAACGAAAAUGCCUGUAAUCCACCCUCAUCCCACUACUUCUCUGACUCAUCCUUUACAUCUCUCUCCACCCCAGUUUGUACUAUUACAACCACACAGACCCCCUUGCUAUUCUCUGGACAAGGGUAUGCUGCCAGCUUAAGGUUUUAUACUUGCUGCUCCCUUUACCCCAAAUAUAUUUCCUAGAAAACCCCAGAUGUCCACAUGGCUCGCUCCUUCACUUUCUUCAGGUCUCUACUCAGUUGUCACAAUAUUAAUGGAGCCUACCCCGACCACCUAUAUAGCAAAUCUCCGCCUCCCUCCAGAGAGAGAGGAGAGGGAGAAUAAAGGGGAGAGAAGAGGAAGAAGGAAGAGAGGAAGACUUUCCAUCCCUACUACCUGCCUUGAUUCCUCCUUGGUACUUAUCACCACAUAGCAUGUUGCAUAGUUACAUGCUUGUUUGUUCUUUCUAAUUUCUCUGUCCCUCACACCUUAUUCCUAAAGUCCCUUAUGGCAAAGAUUUUGCUUUGUUUAUUGAAGUGAACUAUAACAAUGCGUAGAAGAGUGUAGACUCUCAAUACAUUUUUUGUUGAAUGAAUGGGUACAGGCUAGAUGUCCUGCACAGUGAUUUAUAUGCAUUUUCUCUCUCUUUCACUGUCUCCAAGUCCCUCAUGAAAAAAAGCAUGAGACAUGCUAUUUCCAAAUUCAAACAUACAUAUUUGUAAUAACAAUUACACAGAUUCUAUUAUCAGAAAAUGAUGUUGUUUAAUGUUUAAGAAUUGGAAAUUAAAAGUCACCUUUGACAGCCUGGCCAACGUCGUGAAACUCCAUCUUUACUAAAAAAUACAAAAAUUAGCCGGGUAUGGUGGCACACUCCUGUAAUCACAGCUACUUGGGAGGCUGAGGCACAAGAAUCGCUCAAACCUGGGAGGUGGAGGAUGCAGUGAGCCGAGAUCAUGCCACUGUACUCCAGCCUGCAUGACAGAGCAAGACUCUGUCUAAAAAAAAAAAAAUCACCUUUGAUUCCAGGGACCCAAAACAAUCCCUUUGACUCUUUGUUUUUCCAUGAAAUGUCUGCAAAGUGGUUGUUCUAGCACUGUAUAUACAUUGAAUGCAUACUAUUUUGCCAAAGAAAUAAAAAGAAAAAUCAACAUCCUAAUUCAAGUACUCAACUAGUUUUUUAAAAACUGUGAUAAGCUAAAAAAUAAAUAAAUAAAUAAAAACUUUGAUGAUCUGAUUAAGUCAAGCUCCAGAGAGCCAAUCACCAAAGAACUAAUUGCUUGAGUGAAUUCAUUAUUUUCAAAGCAGUUGUGUAAAGGUGUUCAGAUAUGAGUAUUAAAAGUCAGCUAGUUUGAGGUUUAAAAACUUUCUUCAUGCCUGUGGGAAGUUAGAGAAAAUGCAGCUUCAGUUAUACCCACUGAACAUAAACAUUACUUUGGAUAACUAGCAAGCAUUUACCAGACAUUGCAUCUCUGUGCAGGGAUCAAGCUUGUUUCCUGAGGUCCCAGAACUGACAAUGUAGUUGGGAAGAGAAGGUGUGUGCCUAAGUAAACUGGCACAUGAGAUUAGGUUAACAAACAAAAUGCAUUAUCCUCCUUCCAUCUCAGCCUCAACUCUGAGCUGACUUGGGCCCCUGGCUGUAG